GCGAGAGUGGUGGAAUUGGCAGACACGCAGGAUUUAGGAUCCUGUGAGGCAACUCGUGGGGGUUCGAGUCCCCCCUCUCGCA
rnacentral:tRNA from 1 species